rnacentral:rRNA from 1 species
UACGUAGGGUGCAAGCGUUUGUCCGGAAUUAUUGGGCGUAAAGAGCUCGUAGGCGGUCUGUCGCGUCGGCUGUGAAAACCCGGGGCUCAACCCCGGGCCUGCAGUCGAUACGGGCAGACUAGAGUGCGGUAGGGGAGACUGGAAUUCCUGGUGUAGCGGUGAAAUGCGCAGAUAUCAGGAGGAACACCGGUGGCGAAGGCGGGUCUCUGGGCCGAUACUGACACUGAGGAGCGAAAGCGUGGGGAGCGAACAGG